GUUUUUAGUAGGGGGUGACACAGGAAUCAAUUGUCGCUCCCAUCUCAUCCCAGCCCACGAAAAUACUCCCGUCAUAUCCCGAUCAUGUGACUGGCCCCACCAAAAAAAAUCCUGACCUGCAAUAUCCCGAGAGAAAGACUCCCGAGUCCCAUCCCGCUCCCCUUUCGUUCCCUGUGUUGUCUUAAGUUGCUCUGUUGCAG